rnacentral:piRNA from 1 species
UCGGGCCAGAAGCUUGCCUCAGAGACCUUU